CAAGAGCGUAUAUUAAAGUUGCUGCGGUUAAAAAGCUCGUAGUUGGAUUUCAGUCUAGGAAGGUUAACUCGCCGAAAGGUUGUACGUUGAUUUUCCUCAGACUUCGUCAGAAGCUCGUGCUGCACUUAACUGUGUGGUACGAUGUUCUGACCUUUUACCUUGAGGAAAGUAGAGUGUUUCAGGCAGGCUACCCAGCUUGAAUACAUUAGCAUGGAAUAAUGAAAUGGAUCUCGGUUCGAUUUCGUUGGUUCUAGAGCUGAGGUGAUGAUCAAUAGGAACAGGCGAAGGUAUUCGUACUUGAGAGUGAGGAGUGAAAUCCGACGAUCUCUUAAAGACGGUCCGAGGCGAAAGCAUUUGUCAAGGAUGUUUUCAUUGA
rnacentral:rRNA from 1 species